CCUCGGAGCCAUGGCGACGGAGCGCGGUGGAGGUGGAUGUUGACGCGGUGGUGCCACCGGCGCCAGAUCUUGAUGGGCGCGAACACGCGCCCGCCGCGGCACAUUUUGCCGACGGCGCCCUGCCUGGCGCGGUGGGUGUGACGUCGAAGCGCACGGGAUGUGACCUCGGGGCGCGCCUCAGGUCGGGGUCGGCGCGCCUCAGGUCGGGGUCGGAGCACGUCCGGGAGCGGCAGCGGCCGCCAUUGGAGAGAGAGAGAGAGAGAGAGAGAGAGAGAGAGAGAAAGGGAUCCUCUUUUCUCUU
rnacentral:lncRNA from 1 species